CUCCUUCUCCGGCUCUCUCUGGUUAGUUCCUUCCCGGCAGCAGAUUGAAGCAGGAGGAGAUGAUUCUUCUCAAGGACAAGUCAUCGUAGAUGCGAUUAACAAGAACUUCGUGGGCAAAAUUAAAAACGCAGAAAAGCAGGCAGACCGAGUAAAAUGCAAAAGGAAAGCCGGAGAUUGUCCUCUCUGAAUGGAUUCUUCCUGUAAAGAAGGAUUAUAUCACCACUACGAAUCAAUCUGUUCCUGAUCCUUUUUAAAACAACUUUUACAAUCAAGACUCUACACUGCAGUACUUACACAAACAGUUAGCUUGUUCACUAUAAUGGCUGUUGUUCAAGAUCAGAUCCUCAAAAGGGAGAUGGAGUUGCUAUGUACAGGGACAAAGUCUAGAAAUGCUGCCUUCGAAAAGAAAACAAAAUAGUGCCCUAAGUAACACAGCAAGGUAGCAACCGCUCUGUCUUGUUUGUGCUAGGAUAUUUGUGCUAAGGUUAGCUCUGUACCGACAUCACAACCGAAGCUUUGUUAAGCAAUCAAUAUUAAAAAAACACUUCUUAAAGUACUAGUGUUCUUCAGGAAAAAAAAAUUACUCAAAAUAAUAAAAACAACUAUUUGUAAUUAAUAUGGGCCAGACAUAUACGUGCAAUUUGCUUCAUAAUUUUGCCAUCAUUUUACAAUUAAAAACAGCCAUGCUCCCGUA